UCCAUCGUGACAUAACUGGUCCGCCAGGC
rnacentral:sRNA from 1 species